AGCGGAAACGACACUAACAAUCCUUCGGGUGCGUUAAUGGGCGUCGAGCGGCGGACGGGUGAGUAAUGCCUAGGAAAUUGCCUUGAUGUGGGGGAUAACCAUUGGAAACGAUGGCUAAUACCGCAUAAUGCCUACGGGCCAAAGAGGGGGACCUUCGGGCCUCUCGCGUCAAGAUAUGCCUAGGUGGGAUUAGCUAGUUGGUGAGGUAAUGGCUCACCAAGGCGACGAUCCCUAGCUGGUCUGAGAGGAUGAUCAGCCACACUGGAACUGAGACACGGUCCAGACUCCUACGGGAGGCAGCAGUGGGGAAUAUUGCACAAUGGGCGAAAGCCUGAUGCAGCCAUGCCGCGUGUAUGAAGAAGGCCUUCGGGUUGUAAAGUACUUUCAGUUGUGAGGAAGGGGGUAGCGUUAAUAGCGCUAUCUCUUGACGUUAGCAACAGAAGAAGCACCGGCUAACUCCGUGCCAGCAGCCGCGGUAAUACGGAGGGUGCGAGCGUUAAUCGGAAUUACUGGGCGUAAAGCGCAUGCAGGUGGUUCAUUAAGUCAGAUGUGAAAGCCCGGGGCUCAACCUCGGAACUGCAUUUGAAACUGGUGAACUAGAGUACUGUAGAGGGGGGUAGAAUUUCAGGUGUAGCGGUGAAAUGCGUAGAGAUCUGAAGGA
rnacentral:rRNA from 1 species